GGGGUGAAAAUAACAAAGUUUUGUCCAUCUUUGUUCAUCAUAGCUGAAAGUUAGAGAAGAGAAAGGAGAGGAGAAAGCUCUUGAGUAUUCGGUCUUUAGGAGGAGGAAAAUUGAAGGAAAUCCCCAACCAUAGUGGGCUUGGAGCUCUGAGGGAAUUCGGAGCGGCCACCCGUUCUGAAAGUUUGAUUUUCUUCUGGUGAACUGGACAUCCUUUUAAUUACGUUUGAGGUUUUGGGCUUUUUAAUGUACUAAGGCCGCUUAUUUAUUUUUGAUGGUUUUUAAUAUGUAUUACUAAGAUAGGUAAUACUUAUUUUAACUGUUGAAAUUGGAUAGCUUUAGGGCGCGUUUUCAAAAACAACAGUUGAUUUCAAAAUAACACGACAACAAGUAAAGCUUCCGCAAUGAAA